AGCUGGCGUUUUUUCUGAUACUUAUGCGAGCAGUUGCUACAAGUCGAUUACGAAGCAACUGAUACUUCAGAGUAGCCAAACUCUUUGUAUGCAUUGGAGAUUGUGGAAUGACUCCAUUUGCCGGGGGAAUUCCUAGAAGACCACAAAUGAGAACCAUAAAUCCCAGUAACAGCAGAUCAUAAUGGUAGGAAGAUGGCUUUCUAAGGUUAAACUCUUUUUGCUGAGCAAGUUGAGAUGCCACACUGUGAUCAAAAUAAUACAGGACCGCUACCAUUGUUGCUGGAAUAAAAGCACCAAUUAUGUGAAGUACUGGGACGUCUAGCAUAUCCUUUAUCACUGUCCAAUUCUCAUAGGCACCAGGUGACCAUGGAUUUGGACUGAAAAGUCGUCUUGGAAUCCCGGUUGGAACAUUUUUACCAGGAAUGUAAGAGACCGCUGUCCAGAUUAAAACCAUGAGUGGCACUCCGUAAUCUGCUGUGAAACCCCGAAGCCAGCCAGAGCCAUAUCGCCAAGAUCUUGCCUUUCGACUCCUUAGAGCUGUGAGUAGAAGACCAAAUGACAAGACCAAUGCAAACAUGCCAUUUGCAAACCUCCAUGAAGGUUGGAACUCAGGGAGAUUUGGAUUUUCUCUCUCUGGUACACGAAAUUCAUAUACCAGUCCUUUGAUUGCUUGCUGCAUGAAAAGCAUUGCAAUUAGAAGGCCAAAGAGUUCCCCAGCAAUACGUGUAAACCUAUUGAUAAUGGAACAAGCUCCCAGGACAGCCAGAAGGAAAAGCAAAAUUGCAGUCCAAAUACACACCCAUGCUGUCCAAGCUAAAAAGAGCUUUGGUCCGAGUUCAGGUCUAUCUUUUGCGAAAUUGUACAUGAAUGUGUACAUCAGCACAGUUGGUUCUGCAACUCCAAGAAUCAACAGAGGUUGGCCUCCAAUGAUAGAGUGCAUAAUCCCACAUAAUGCAGUUGAAGCAAGAGUCUGAACUGCAGUUAUCAAUCCAUCAGUACUUCUUUCCAACUGCUCACCAAAUGAUAUUACUGGAAUUGCUGAAGCAAAAAAUAUAUAGGUAGUUGGAGCUAAAAUCCUGAAGCCUGCGGUAAGACCACUAGUCCAAUCUUGUUUAAAGCACAUUAAUCUCCCUUUGAGGUCAUUUUUAAUUCCACGAAAUGGCACAAAAUUAUCUUCCAUUUUACAAACAAGUGAUUCUCUUCUUCAAUCCAAUAGCCUUCACCAGUUCAAUUCACUACUUGAGUAAAUCUGAUAAUAAUACAUUACACUCUAGGACUAUUAUAUUGAAGAUCCUAAAGCAUCCAAGAAAGUAGCAGUAGUACAUAUAUUUACCUUUGUGAGAAUAGGAUAAUUCCGCUUGAAAUGGAUGAAAAGAUCUGAUGGUAACAAAAGGGUAGAAUAUACAAAGCACCAAAAUGC
rnacentral:misc_RNA from 1 species